rnacentral:misc_RNA from 2 species
CUGCGAGUUCGCGGGAGAGUAAGUUAUUGCCAGGGUUUUUAUUUUAUACUUUAAACCUUGAAUUUAUUUUUUAAAUGUUUAUAUUAUUUGAAUAAAACAUUCAAAUAAUAUAAAAAAUAAUAUAUAUAUUGACAUGGAUUAAACAAAGAUAUAUAUUAUUUUAUGUUGUAUAAACAAAUUGGCAAAAUAGAGAUGGAAGAUAAAAAUAUGGUCAAAGUAAUAAGAGUCUAUGGUGAAUGCCUAGGA